UCCAAAGCAACUCAACAUAUACAUUAGUGUAUGUGUCCAACGCUGGCAUUGAACCGGUAACUUUGGCGCCGCAGUCAUCGCACUCUAACCAACUGAGCCAUCAGAAGGACUUUUAGAUCUUCUGUGUGUCUCUUCUUCUCUUCUCUACCUCUCAGUCUCCAGCCAAACGUUUGGAGGCGCGGUCACCGAGGAUCCUACUAUUGCCCUCCAUGCUGCAACAGCGAAUCACAGAGAUCGACCAGCAGAGGGAGGAGCUAAAGAUAGAGCUGCAGUUGGAGAUAGCCCUGUUGGAGGGGGAGCUGCAUGAGGAGAGGAACGAGCUGCGCAGACACACUCUGGAUCUACAGACACUGCAGGAGGAAGGCAGGCACAAGGAGACACACAGACAGACGGACAGACAGAAGGAGCGAGCCAGUCUGGAGGUGGAGAGGGCCCGGGUUGAGGAGCUGAGGAGUAGGUUGGAGGAGAAGGAGACACUGAUCCCCAGUCAGCCAGAGGGCCAGAGAGAGCAUCUACUGGUCCAACUACAACAGGAGAAAGAGAUGGUGGAUGCAGC
ensembl:lncRNA